rnacentral:rRNA from 1 species
ACUCAAAGGAAUUGACGGGGGCCCGCACAAGCAGUGGAGUAUGUGGUUUAAUUCGAAGCAACGCGAAGAACCUUACCAGGGCUUGACAUCCCUCUGACCGGUAUAGAGAUAUACCUUCCCUUCGGGGCAGAGGAGACAGGUGGUGCAUGGUUGUCGUCAGCUCGUGUCGUGAGAUGUUGGGUUAAGUCCCGCAACGAGCGCAACCCCUGUUGUUAGUUGCCAGCAUUCAGUUGGGCACUCUAGCGAGACUGCCGGUGAUAAAUCGGAGGAAGGUGGGGACGACGUCAAAUCAUCAUGCCCCUUAUGUCCUGGGCUACACACGUACUACAAUGGCGAUAACAGAGGGAAGCGAGACCGCGAGGUGGAGCAAAACCCCAAAAGUCGCCCCAGUUCAGAUUGCAGGCUGCAACUCGCCUGCAUGAAGUCGGAAUUGCUAGUAAUGGCAGGUCAGCAUACUGCCGUGAAUACGUUCCCGGGCCUUGUACACACCGCCCGU